rnacentral:rRNA from 1 species
GACGAACGCUGGCGGCGUGCUUAACACAUGCAAGUCGAGCGGUAAGGCCUUUCGGGGUACACGAGCGGCGAACGGGUGAGUAACACGUGGGUGAUCUGCCCUGCACUUCGGGAUAAGCCUGGGAAACUGGGUCUAAUACCGGAUAUGACCUCCUAUCGCAUGGUGGGUGGUGGAAAGAUUUAUUGGUGCAGGAUGGGCCCGCGGCCUAUCAGCUUGUUGGUGGGGUAAUGGCCUACCAAGGCGACGACGGGUAGCCGACCUGAGAGGGUGACCGGCCACACUGGGACUGAGACACGGCCCAGACUCCUACGGGAGGCAGCAGUGGGGAAUAUUGCACAAUGGGCGAAAGCCUGAUGCAGCGACGCCGCGUGAGGGAUGACGGCCUUCGGGUUGUAAACCUCUUUCAGCAGGGACGAAGCGCAAGUGACGGUACCUGCAGAAGAAGCACCGGCUAACUACGUG